GUCCCAGGCGUCAUGUCCCUGCGCGUCCCCUGGGGACCUGGCCCGGGCCCCGGCCGCGACCGUGCCCCCCUCUCUCUCUCUGUCCCUCUAGAGAAACAUCCAAGAGGCCUUCCGCGCCGGCAGGAAGCCCGACAGGGCCGUGGCGAGCGUAGAUGCUCCGGUCCCCCCGCGCCGUCUACAACUACAGCGUGCAGACCCUCAACGCCGCGGAGCUGGCCAAGAAGCAGCUGCACCGGCAGAUGGCCAAGGUGCCCGGGAGGAGGUACACGUAUUCCCAGCGUUUCCUCUCGGCCACCCUGGAGCCCCUCGACGUCCAGGAAGAGGACAGGAAGGCCCGGGAGAGGUCGCGCCGGGCCUGGCUCACGCCCGCUGGCUUCCAGGUGACGGGCCUCAGGGAUGGCAUCGAGGAGAACCGGCCGGGGCUGCAGCUGCCCGUCAUCACGGACGUGGUCGAGGAGUGGAAGGAGAAGGAGCUCUUCGCCAACAAGCUCAAGCCCGUGCUGGACCGGGACCGCUGGGGCUGGGACCGGCGCCACCUGGACUUCGAUCUCUACACCAGGCCUCCCCCUACUUCCUUCCCAGUGCCGCCUUCGCCUGCCCCGAAGCCGGGGGUGACAGUAUCUUCUAGAAAAUGAUGGAAUAAAUACGCAACCCUGGGAACCGCGCUGAGAUGCUCAGCGGGGACAGCCGCGUCGGGGCCGUGUCUGGGCCGAGGUCUGUUCGCCAGCGUCCAAAAGCUUCCCGCCCUUUGAUUCCACACUCGCUGGCCAGGGCGAACCCCAGGAACCGGCAGCCUCAGGUCUGUAAUUAUGCACCACUGCAUGCACCCAGUUGACUGAAGUAUACUUAUUGAUUGUUCGUAAACAAGUAUAAAUUGCAAAAAAAAAAAACAAAAAAAACCCAAAAACAAUAACAACAACAACAUAAAAAAAAAUGCCAAAAGCGACACUCAGGAAUUUUUGUAUGCACGAGUCACUAAAGGGAAAUUAUAUAUACAGAAAAAUAGAGAGAGAGAAGAAAGUAGAAAAAAUAGAAAGAAAUGAGCUGGACAACUAAAAAUAUAUAUGAAAAAAAAAAAAAAAACGAGCCGGGCGCGGUGGCGCACGCCUGUAGUCCCAGCUACUCGGGAGGGAGGCCGAGGAGGGAGGAUCGCUCAAUGAGGUCAGGAGGUGGAGGCCGGCCUGAGCAAGAGCGAGACCUCGUCUCUACUAAAAGUAUAGAAAAGAAAUGAGCUGGACAAGUAAAAAUAUAUAGAAAAAACGAGCCGGGCAUGGUGGCGCGUGCCUGUAGUCCCAGCUACUCGGGAGGGAGGCUGAGGCAGGAGGAUCGCUGGAGGCCAGGAGUCGGAGGCUGCUGUGAGCGAGGCUGACGCCACGGCGCUCACUCCAGCCCCGGCGACAGAGCGAGACUCUGUCUCCAAAAAACAAAAACAGGAACCCGAGGCCCCCAAAUCUGGAGGCGGGAAUAGCUGGG
rnacentral:lncRNA from 1 species